GCGGUGGAUGAUGUGGAUUAAUUCGAUGCAACGCCGAAAAACCUUACCUACCCUUGACAUGUCAGGAACUUGCCAGAGAUGGCUUGGUGCUCGAAAGAGAACCUGAACACAGGUGCUGCAUGGCUGUCGUCAGCUCGUGUCGUGAGAUGUUGGGUUAAGUCCCGCAACGAGCGCAACCCUUGUCGUUAAUUGCCAUCAUUGAGUUGGGCACUUUAACGAGACUGCCGGUGACAAACCGGAGGAAGGUGGGGAUGACGUCAAGUCCUCAUGGCCCUUAUGGGUAGGGCUUCACACGUCAUACAAUGGUCGGUACAAAGGGUUGCCAAGCCGCGAGGUGGAGCCAAUCCCAGAAAGCCGAUCGUAGUCCGGAUUGCAGGCUGCAACUCGCCUGCAUGAAGUCGGAAUCGCUAGUAAUCGUGGAUCAGCAUGUCACGGUGAAUACGUUCCCGGGUCUU
rnacentral:rRNA from 1 species